rnacentral:rRNA from 1 species
AAUGAACGCUGGCGGUAUGCUUAACACAUGCAAGUCGAACGAUUUCAUCUAGCUUGCUAGAUGCGAUAGUGGCAAACGGGUGAGUAACACGUAGGAAUCUACCUAGCAGUACGGAAUAGCAGUUGGAAACGACUAUUAAUACCGUAUACGUCCUUCGGGAGAAAGAUUUAUCGCUGUUAGAUGAGCCUGCGCCGGAUUAGCUAGUUGGUGGGGUAAUGGCCCACCAAGGCGACGAUCCGUAGCUGUUCUGAGAGGAAGAUCAGCCACACUGGGACUGAGACACGGCCCAG